AGGGGCCUCACUUCCUUCUACCAGUCUUAAGUAGCAAAACCAUGCCAUGAUCUAAGAAGAUGUGCUAAACAAUUUAAUCAUAAAAUUAGCAGUUAACAUGUACCAAGUAUUGACAAAUUCUUUACUAGAUGGGUUUGUUCCUUACCAGCUCAGCCACACUUUUAUAUGGAGAACACAAAUGUCUGGUGGGCUUCGAUGUCUUAUUUUAUUGGAGGCAAGAUCAUAGAAGAUAAGAAUCAGCCUUUCCAAACAAUUACAGCAGGGUUUCAAAGAACUUGACACCCAAUUGUUUUUCCCCUUCAGGACAUUCGGAGCCUUCCUCUAACACAGAUCCUGCUCUCAAGACGUUGUCUAAUAGUUGGACACGUAAACUGCAGUUGUCUAGAUAAUGACUAGACUUUCUCCUCAGCUGAGACACACAUCUACACAACACCCACAGCACAGAGUGUGGUUUAUAACAUUGACAGAUGUUGGAAACAAGCACAGCUCAUCUGAAUUCUUUUCAGACAGCCUUUGCUGUAUUCUGGAAGACACCUUGGUGCACUAUGUGCAGGUUUUAAUUGUCAUUUGUGAGGAACCAUGCAUUUUUCAACAGGGGCAUGCGUGAAUUUUAACUGAAGCACUGUGUUUUAACAGAAACUGUCAUGGAAAAGCAGGGUGCUCUUCCAGCAUCACAGAGAAAGAUGGAAAAGGGAGAUGUGGGUUUCAGUUUAGGUGGUAACUGGCAGGGGGAAGAAUUACUUUAAGGAAAUGAGAAAUCCAAGAGGUCACACAGCUGGGGUUUGAAACAGCUUCCUGAGUUCAGAUUAGCACAAAUGGUGCAGGAAGGAAAGAAAAAUCAUACGGUUUUCUACCCUGAAACAAGAGCAUGGGGUUUAGUCCUAUAUUAAUGAAUUCUUGUAACACUAACAGGUGAAGGCCUUCCUCAAACUAGAGCAAGUGCUUAGAGAUUCAGGCCUUCAUUCAAAACUCUUAGUGAUUUUUAAGUGGUGUCAUUAAGCCUGAAGAGGCAGGAACAUUCCUCUGACAGACAGGGUAUUUAGGGACUCACAGGUCUCAAAGCCAAGGCAGAUGGCUCAGACGAAGCCUCCAUCCCAGCAGGUGAAGGGUUAUUGUGUCAGCUGCCUCCCUCCUUAGCACAUUGCACCCAUCACUUACUCUGCUCAUUGUUCCGCUUGUUCCUGCUUCUUGUUAAAAAGUAAUUGCAUGAAAGGCUCCCACACUGAUCUCAAUUGAGAUUGCCCAGUUUCAACUUUGCAGCCUUAGUUCUUGGAACGUUUAUCUCCAGUACACCCUCUCAUAAGGUAUCACACGAAAAUCAAGGCACUCCUGAAUAGUCUGUCUGAGAAAAGAAUUCUUUUUAUAUCUGUUACUGCAAUUAAUCUAAUUGGGAUUGUAGCUUUUUUUACAUCUAUGUCUCCCGUGUUACAGUCUGAACUUCUAACAGGUAGUACCUCAAAUGGUGUGUUUUCCACAGACCUGGGAAGAUUAAGUCUUAUUUCUGCUUAUGUAUCCAAGGACAAGUUCUUAUGCCUGUGUUUCACAUCAGGAGCUCAUUCUGAAUUGCUUAUCCACUAGAGCUGCACGGAAUUAUUGGUACUUACUACCUCCCACCUUCUGUAGCUAUGAUCAGAUUAUUUUACACAUUGAAUAAAAACAACCAAGUGUCACUGACUUCUCCAGUAACA
ensembl:lncRNA